CCAGCCUCCUCUCCCGCAUCGCCAUGCUCGCCACGAUAUUGAUGUGUAGCGUCUUGGUGGUGGCUGCAACGGCGCGGCCUGAGUCAGUGUCUAGCCACGCCGUCCCCGUGUACCAGGCACCGGCCCGGCCCCGCCCCUGCCCAACGCGCGCCAGAUCAUGAUCAGAUUCCAGCGCAGUACGACUUCACCUACGACGCCCAAGACCCUUACACCGGCAGGAACUUCGGUCACCAGGAGGUCCGCGACGGCUACAACACCCAGGGCUCUUACUACGUCCCCCUCGCCGACGGUCGCGUGCAGAAGGUCACUUACUACGUCGACGGGGAUUCUGGCUUCGUAGCUGAGAUCACGUACGAAGGAACAGCCACUUAUCCUGACCCCGCUCCUUCUUACGACCCCAAACCGACCUAUUCUCAGCCGGCACCUCCUCCCACCUAUUCCUAGAUCUCGUCCGUACCUCAGAGUCUCAUGUGAUGUUAAUGUGAUAUUUGUAUAUAAAGUUGAUCAAGCUUC